UGCACAGAAGAAGAUGAACAAUCAAUAAAAGCUUCUUCGAUUUAGUCAAAGUAGGAUGUAAUAUUUUAAUGAUGCAAACGCUAUUUAUAUUCAUAUUUUGGAUAUGUACUACUGUCAAGAAAAUAUUAUUGUCAUCUAAGUCUAUUGUUGAUUACUUCUAUUUAUAUUCUAAUAAUGCAAAUCAAUUAAGAAGCAGUUCAUUAAAAUCACUGCAACUUUAUUCAUAAAUAAAGAGAUCAUGGUGAAGUAUGAGUAUCUUUCUCUUUCUAUAUUUUGUUUUUAAACAAAAUUGAGAAAAACUAAGUAUCCAACAAAACAUAUCAUUAUUCAAACAAAAGAGAGAAACAUGUUGUACCUGAUAAUUUUAAAUCAGAGUCGAGAACUUUAAAAGAGGAUAACUUACCGUGAUGGUUUGAGACUCGUGCUGAUAACGCGUUAUAAAAUGAAAGCAAUUUAGCAAAACAUGAACAAGAAAUAUAAGCAACUUAGUGAAAUAUGAACAAGAAAUAUGGAUAGAGAGAAGGAAG
rnacentral:lncRNA from 1 species